rnacentral:rRNA from 1 species
AUUGAACACUAGCGGGAUGCCUUACACAUGCAAGUCGAACGGAGUGGCGAACGGGUGAGUAAUGUAUCGGAACGUGCCCAGUAGCGGGGGAUAACUAAGCGAAAGCGUAGCUAAUAACGCCUACUAUUGGAGCGGCCGGUAUCGGAGUAGCUAGUUGGUGGGGUAACGGCUCACCAAGGAGCCGAUCCGUAGCUGGUUUGAGAGGACGACCAGCCACACUGGGACUGAGACACGGCCCAGCCUCUUACGGUAGGCAGCAGUGGGGAAUUUUGGACAAUGGGGGAAACCCUGAUCCAGCCAUGCCGCGUGUGUGAAGAAGGCCUUCGGGUUGUAAAGCACUUGCAGCGGGGAGGCGUUACCCGCAGAAGAAGCACCGGCUAACUCCGUGCCAGCAGCCGCGGUAAUUC